GAACGCUAGCGACAGGCUUAACACAUGCAAGUCGAGGGGCAGCACAGGUAGCAAUACCGGGUGGCGACCGGCGCACGGGUGAGUAACGCGUAUGCAACUUGCCUAUCAGAGGGGGAUAACCCGGCGAAAGUCGGACUAAUACCGCAUGAAGCAGGGGCCCCGCAUGGGGAUAUUUGCUAAAGAUUCAUCGCUGAUAGAUAGGCAUGCGUUCCAUUAGGCAGUUGGCGGGGUAACGGCCCACCAAACCGACGAUGGAUAGGGGUUCUGAGAGGAAGGUCCCCCACAUUGGUACUGAGACACGGACCAAACUCCUACGGGAGGCAGCAGUGAGGAAUAUUGGUCAAUGGCCGAGAGGCUGAACCAGCCAAGUCGCGUGAGGGAUGAAGGUUCUAUGGAUCGUAAACCUCUUUUAUAAGGGAAUAAAGUGCGGGACGUGUCCCGUUUUGUAUGUACCUUAUGAAUAAGGAUCGGCUAACUCCGUGCCAGCAGCCGCGGUAAUACGGAGGAUCCGAGCGUUAUCCGGAUUUAUUGGGUUUAAAGGGUGCGUAGGCGGCCUUUUAAGUCAGCGGUGAAAGUCUGUGGCUCAACCAUAGAAUUGCCGUUGAAACUGGGGGGCUUGAGUAUGUUUGAGGCAGGCGGAAUGCGUGGUGUAGCGGUGAAAUGCAUAGAUAUCACGCAGAACCCCGAUUGCGAAGGCAGCCUGCCAAGCCAUUACUGACGCUGAUGCACGAAAGCGUGGGGAUCAAACAGGAUUAGAUACCCUGGUAGUCCACGCAGUAAACGAUGAUCACUAGCUGUUUGCGAUACACUGUAAGCGGCACAGCGAAAGCGUUAAGUGAUCCACCUGGGGAGUACGCCGGCAACGGUGAAACUCAAAGGAAUUGACGGGGGCCCGCACAAGCGGAGGAACAUGUGGUUUAAUUCGAUGAUACGCGAGGAACCUUACCCGGGUUUGAACGCAUUCGGACCGAGGUGGAAACACCUUUUCUAGCAAUAGCCGUUUGCGAGGUGCUGCAUGGUUGUCGUCAGCUCGUGCCGUGAGGUGUCGGCUUAAGUGCCAUAACGAGCGCAACCCUUGCCACUAGUUACUAACAGGUAAAGCUGAGGACUCUGGUGGGACUGCCAGCGUAAGCUGCGAGGAAGGCGGGGAUGACGUCAAAUCAGCACGGCCCUUACAUCCGGGGCGACACACGUGUUACAAUGGCGUGGACAAAGGGAGGCCACCUGGCGACAGGGAGCGAAUCCCCAAACCACGUCUCAGUUCGGAUCGGAGUCUGCAACCCGACUCCGUGAAGCUGGAUUCGCUAGUAAUCGCGCAUCAGCCAUGGCGCGGUGAAUACGUUCCCGGGCCUUGUACACACCGCCCGUCAAGCCAUGGGAGCCGGGGGUACCUGAAGUCCGUAACCGAAAGGAUCGGCCUAGGGUAAAACUGGUGACUGGGGCUAAG
rnacentral:rRNA from 1 species